rnacentral:rRNA from 1 species
UCGAAAGAUGUGCUACUACUGCAUAUUCUCUGAGGAGGAAAGUAGGGGAUCGAAAGACCUUAUGCUUUUGGAGCGGCCGAUGUCUGAUUAGCUAGUUGGUAAGGUAAUGGCUUACCAAGGCGACGAUCAGUAGUUGGUCUGAGAGGACGGCCAGCCACACUGGGACUGGGACACGGCCCAGACUCCUACGGGAGGCAGCAGUGGGGAAUUUUGGACAAUGGGCGCAAGCCUGAUCCAGCAAUGCCGCGUGAGCGAAGAAGGCCUCCGGGUUGUAAAGCUCUUUCAGUCGAGAAGAAAAGGUCGUGACUAAUAAUCAUAACUCAUGACGGUAUCGGCAGAAGAAGCACCGGCUAACUACGUGCCAGCAGCCGCGGUAAUACGUAGGGUGCGAGCGUUAACCGGAAUUACUGGGCGUAAAGGGUGCGCAGGCGGUUCUGUAAGUCAGAUGUGAAAUUCCCGGGCUUAACCUGGGAACUGC